rnacentral:rRNA from 1 species
AUGGGGUGCAGCAGGCGCGAAACCUCUGCAAUAGGCGAAAGCUUGACAGGGUUACUCUGAGUGAUGUCCGUUAAGGGCAUCUUUUGGCACCUCUAAAAAUGGUGCAGAAUAAGGGGUGGGCAAGUCUGGUGUCAGCCGCCGCGGUAAUACCAGCACCCCGAGUGGUCGGGACGAUUAUUGGGCCUAAAGCAUCCGUAGCCGGUUCUGCAAGUCUUCCGUUAAAUCCACCUGCUCAACAGAUGGGCUGCGGGGGAUACUACAGGGCUGGGAGGCGGGAGAGGCAAGCGGUACUCAGUGGGUAGGGGUAAAAUCCUCUGAUCCACUGAAGACCACCAGUGGCGAAGGCGGCUUGCCAGAACGCGCUCGACGGUGAGGGAUGAAAGCUGGGGGAGCAAACCGGAUUAGAUACCCGGGUAGUCCCAGCUGUAAACGAUGCAGACUCGGUGAUGGGUUGGCUUCGAGCCAACCCAGUGCCGCAGGGAAGCCGUUAAGUCUGCCGCCUGGGGAGUACGGUCGCAAGACUGAAACUUAAAGGAAUUGGCGGGGGAGCACA